GACGAACACCGGCGGCGUGCUUAACACAUGCAAGUCGAACGGAAAGGCCCUGCUUUUGUGGGGUGCUCGAGUGGCGAACGGGUGAGUAACACGUGAGUAACCUGCCCUUGACUUUGGGAUAACUUCAGGAAACUGGGGCUAAUACCGGAUAGGAGCUCCUGCUGCAUGGUGGGGGUUGGAAAGUUUCGGCGGUUGGGGAUGGACUCGCGGCUUAUCAGCUUGUUGGUGGGGUAGUGGCUUACCAAGGCUUUGACGGGUAGCCGGCCUGAGAGGGUGACCGGCCACAUUGGGACUGAGAUACGGCCCAGACUCCUACGGGAGGCAGCAGUGGGGAAUAUUGCACAAUGGGCGGAAGCCUGAUGCAGCAACGCCGCGUGCGGGAUGACGGCCUUCGGGUUGUAAACCGCUUUCGCCUGUGACGAAGCGUGAGUGACGGUAAUGGGUAAAGAAGCACCGGCUAACUACGUG
rnacentral:rRNA from 1 species